rnacentral:tRNA from 2 species
GCGGUCGUGGCGGAAUGGCAGACGCGCCAGCUUGAGGGGCUGGUGGGCAUUAGCUCGUGGAAGUUCGAGUCUUCUCGGCCGCA